GCCGUUGUAGCUCAGGUAGUUAGAGCACAUUCAUGGUAAGAAUGAGGUCGCCAGUGCAAGUCUGGCCAACGGCUCCA
rnacentral:tRNA from 2 species